rnacentral:misc_RNA from 1 species
AAAGUCGUAACAAGGUCUCCGUAGGUGAACCUGCGGAGGGAUCAUUACUGAAUGGCCUCUCGGCCUUCAACCUUGUAAACCUGUGGAAGCAAGACGUGCUUCGGCGCUUCGGCGCCGCUUUUAUGCUUUAAUCAGCCUUUUGUGUCUGAAUCAAAAACAAGAAACAAAACUUUCAACAAAGGAUCUCUUGGCUCUC